AACGCUAGCUACAGGCUUAACACAUGCAAGUCGUGGGGCAGCGGGGGUGAAGGCUUGCCUUCACCUGCCGGCGACCGGCGCACGGGUGAGUAACACGUAUGCAACCUGGCCGUGACAGGAGGAUAACCGGUAGAAAUGCCGCCUAAUACUCCAUAAUACUUUGCGGGGACAUCCCCGUGAGGUCAAAGGAAGCGAUUCCGGUCACGGAUGGGCAUGCGGCGCAUUAGCUAGUCGGCGGGGUAACGGCCCACCGAGGCGACGAUGCGUAGGGGUUCUGAGAGGAAGGUCCCCCACAUUGGAACUGAGACACGGUCCAAACUCCUACGGGAGGCAGCAGUGAGGAAUAUUGGUCAAUGGGCGAAAGCCUGAACCAGCCAAGUCGCGUGAGGGAAUAAGGCCCUAUGGGUCGUAAACCUCUUUUGCCGGGGAGCAAGAUCUGGGACGUGUCCCUGAUUGGAGAGUACCCGGAGAAAAAGCAUCGGCUAACUCCGUGCCAGCAGCCGCGGUAAUACGGAGGAUGCGAGCGUUAUCCGGAUUUAUUGGGUUUAAAGGGUGCGUAGGCGGGCUUUUAAGUCAGCGGUAAAAUUGCGGUGCUCAACGCCGUAGAGCCGUUGAAACUGGGAGCCUUGAGUGAGCGAGAAGUAGGCGGAAUGCGUGGUGUAGCGGUGAAAUGCAUAGAUAUCACGAAGAACUCCGAUUG
rnacentral:rRNA from 1 species